AUUGUACUCCCUCCGUCCCGAAUUACUUGUCGCAGAUAUGGAUGUAUUUAGUUGUAUUUUAGUUUUAGAUACAUCUAUUUCUGCGACGAGUAAUUUGACACGGAAGGAGUACAAA
rfam:Triticum aestivum genome assembly, contig: Triticum_aestivum_CS42_TGACv1_scaffold_556223_7AL